AACUGUAUUGAAAGGAGUAAAGUUGACGCUUUGUUCAUAGAUGCUUUGUUACUGUAUUGACAGGAGUAAAGUUGACACUUUGUACAUAUAUGCAUUGUAACUGUAUUGACCGGAGUAAAUUUGACACUUUGUAUAUGGAUGCAUUGUAACUGUAUUGACUUUAGUAAAGUUGUCACUUUGUACAUAGGUGCAUUGUAACUGUUUUGACAGGAGUGAUGCUGACACUUUAUAAUUGCAUGCAUUGUAACUGUAUUCACAAGAGUAAAUUUGACACUUUGUAUAUGGAUGCAUUGUAACUGUAUUGACGGGAGUAAAUUUGACACUUUGUAUAUGGAUGUAUAGUAACUUUAUUGACAGAAAUAAAUUUGACACUUUGUACAUAGGUGCAUUGUAACUGUAUUACAACUUGACUGUUUUGAACUUAUAGGCCGUCGGUCCAACGAUCACUUGAUUGUCUGGUCUUUAUACAGGCCGUUGUCUUACGUCAGGAUUAUUGUGUUAGGCAACAAACAAACACAUACUUUUUUAUGGAAACUGUUUGAAUGGCGUUUGCUACUCAUGGGUGGCGAACAUUUUUGCGAACAGCUGGUGCCAUCACUGAUAUUGUACACGGAUAAAUGUGUUCAUGUAUUUCCUGAAGUAAAAUUAAUCGUUGGUACAUAGACACGUUAGAGACUUAACUCCUUGUAGUAAAAUUCGCACUUUGCAUUGUAAAUGGUUUGGCAUGUUUAUUUGAUUGGACAUGCGUGACUGGAGUAAAAUUGAUACUUUGAGACAUAAUUAAGAUUCACUGAUAAUCAUUGUAUAAUAAUUGACCAAUAUUAGACAUAAUUUGUAUUGUGUACAUUUAUCUGUAUACGUAAUUAUCUUUGUCAAUCCUCUUUGACAAGUUACACAUUCCUGGUUUUAUUUCACUUCAUUGUUUGUCAUUUUCUUGAAAUCCAUGUGCACUUGGUGAUAAUAAAGAAACUAUUUAUGUUCUUUUUUUCUGUA